rnacentral:rRNA from 1 species
UGGGGAAUAUUGGACAAUGGGCGCAAGCCUGAUCCAGCCAUGCCGCGUGAACGAUGAAGGCCUUAGGGUUGUAAAGUUCUUUUGUCAGGGAAGAUAAUGACGGUACCUGAAGAAUAAGUACCGGCUAACUUCGUGCCAGCAGCCGCGGUAAUACGAAGGGUGCUAGCGUUGUUCGGAAUCACUGGGCGUAAAGCGCGCGUAGGCGGCGAUAUAAGUCAGAGGUGAAAGCCUGGAGCUCAACUCCAGAACUGCCUUUGAAACUAUAUUGCUAGAGUGUCGGAGGGGAUAGCGGAAUUGCUAAUGUAGAGGUGAAAUUCGUAGAUAUUAGCAGGAACACCGGUGGCGAAGGCGGCUAUCUGGACGACAACUGACGCUGAGGCGCGAAAGCGUGGGGAUCAAACAGGAUUAGAUACCCCCGUAGUCCCUGAGCGGGCUGGCAAGGCGCAU